rnacentral:tRNA from 1 species
UUUCUUAGUGGCAGACUAAGUGCAAUGAACUUAAGAUUCAUACAUGAUAUUUAUCCUAAGAUAUC